rnacentral:lncRNA from 1 species
UUGGUUUUCGUUUUGGAUUUGGUUUUCUAAGAAAAUGCAAUUCCUAGGUGCAGCAGAACAGAAUUUCAGGGAGGUGCUGUGAUGAACGCCAUCUAUUCAGCUGGACGGGAAGCACACUAUUAUGUAUGGAUGACGUGACAGUAAGAAAUCUCACAAAAUUACCUCCCUUAAAAUAACAGUCACGCUUGAUCCCUCGUAGCUCGCUAGAAAGCCAUCUCAAGCCUCGGGAGAUCACGAGCCAGUUUUACAGUCGGCACGCUCUCUGUCCUUCCCACACCUUUCCAGAUCAGACAGGCCCACAUAACCAUUGCGUACGAACAACUACACAACGCUCAGUCAGAGUGGGAAAUACCACGAUAUUGUAGCAGGCAAUGCCGAGCGUAUCCAUCACCAUCACAAUUGCUUGGAGAGGAUCCACAAUUUCUUGCGUGUUAUCUUUUCUCAAAACCCAGUCCGGUUUAAUUCUGUGGCAAUAAGAGUGGUUCAUCAUUAAAAUAGUAUAUUGUCACUGUAAAAACUGCAGACUAAUUUUUAGGUACAUACCUCGAAACUGUCUUUAUU